AGCAUGUUGGGUGUUAGGUUCGAAUCCUCCGUAGAGUAGUGGUGAAAAUCCAACUCUCAGAGAAAAGAGCAAGAACAUAAACUCUUACUCGUUUGCAAGCGAUAACUCAAAUCGAUCACGAAUCAUUGGAAAAUGGGGAGGACAUUACAAGAGCGACUCGAUCUGAUAAUGUGGAACAAAACAUGAAAAUUAAAAAAUCUUGGCAAUUGUACAAUACUAAUGCAUUGGAUAUUCCACAUUUUUUGGCCUGCGCCAGCAAUGUCUUAAAGGCUUUUCGUGGUCAUUUAAUUGAUAAUGCUGAAUAUGAUGAAUGGGAUCAGAAUAAUGGAGCAGAUGUUGACGCUAGUAAUAUUUACGACGAUUAUGACAAUCUCUUAAUAUUUUUAGAGAUGGACAUUAUGGAAAUACUGUAACUAACUGAUUAUUAUAUGCAAUUAUAAUAGAUGAGUGGAUUUUUAACGAUCGGUUUUAAAAUAAAAUUUAAUUAACAGUUAAUUAUUGAAAAUGAAACUGUAACGGGGUGACCUGGUGUUCGACUGCCAGAUCAGCAAAAAUUAAAUUUCGCGCCUUUUAAUUUGCGCACCAGCCUUUGCGUCGAAUUUGGUUUAACGGUGCGACGGUAGGGGUAGGUUGGACACCUCGUCGUCAGACGACAAAACCAAAAAUUAAUUCUCACCAACUAGCCGAACUGAGCGGUCGCUCAAGAUUUCUUUUGUGCUGUUUUGUUUCCAACGUUAUAACAAAGUCUUUAUUCAGGCAGACGCCAUAAAUUAUAAGUACAGUUUUUCUAAGAGUCGUUACAACAACGUUCCACCUCGAAUUACACCAGAAGGAGGAUCCUGUCGAUUUACGUUUGAGAUGACUACUACGGCUUAACACCUAGGACAAGUCGAUGUAAGUUCCUUGGAAUAAAGGUUUUGGGAAUUUUGUAAUAUUACAGUUUGUCAAACACGUGGAGGAGAUUUCCUCAUUAACUUUAUCGUCUUUCUCUAAAUUCUUUCAUUGAAUUUAUUCAAGUUAUUUCUAUCUCUGUGCAUGCGGGAAAUUUAUUACCGGUUAAUUUUAAUUGUCAGAAUUUUUUCCUCGAGUUAAAAUUAAAUUAAAGCUCGUUAAUUAUUGUCGUGAUAAAUUUUAUUGAGAAAAUUCAUAUUAAUAAAGUUGGGACUUGUAUCCCGGUUGAACGGAAGCGGCGCAUGCGCAGUAAAAUUAUAUCGCGAAACUUUUAAUCAUUAAUUAUUAAUUAUAAAUAAAUUUAGCAUUAAGUGUAUAUAUUAAACAAUUAAUUAUUUAUUUAUAAUAAAAG